rnacentral:rRNA from 1 species
CAGUCGCCGCGGGAAUACGAAGGGGGCUAGCGUUGUUCGGAUUUACUGGGCGUAAAGGGCGCGUAGGCGGACUGAUAAGUCAGGGGUGAAAUCCCAAGGCUCAACCUUGGAACUGCCUUUGAUACUGUUUGUCUUGAGUUCGAGAGAGGUAAGUGGAACUGCGAGUGUAGAGGUGAAAUUCGUAGAUAUUCGCAAGAACACCAGUGGCGAAGGCGGCUUACUGGCUCGAUACUGACGCUGAGGCGCGAAAGCGUGGGGAGCAAACAGGAUUAGAGACCCCUGUAGUCCCUGUCUCUUAUAC